AUGGAUAGUAGUACAACUAUGAAGAAAUCCAGAGCAGGUACAAUAAGCGUCAAGGAGGCUCCUGCCAAGUUACCAUACCAACUAAGUGACGAGGAACUCAAGAAGGUCGUGGAUGGCGAAGUGAAACGCCAUCUUGCACCGACACGGCCCGAGCGAAAGGAGAAAAUAGAUCCGGCAAAAGCGAAGCGCUGUCUGGAAAACCUCACGCGACCGUUGCCGCCUCCGCUGCUAUCAAACUAUGACCACUCUAUUAUCAAGUCACAUAAAGAACAACAGCGGUCGGGAAGUAGUAGUAGUGCAAGGGGGGAAACAAUUCCCUAG
rnacentral:rRNA from 1 species